rnacentral:rRNA from 1 species
AGUGGAUGGGGAGCAACCUAGUUGUGCGUGUGUAAAGGUAGUGCCAAGAAAAGCGGUGAUCAUGAUGAAAAUCAAUUCCCGGUACCCGAAACCGACACAGGUGGGCAAGUAGAGAAUACUAAGGGGCGCGAGGUAACUCUCUCCAAGGAACUCGGCAAAAUGACCCCGUAACUUAGGGAGAAGGGGUGCCACCGAGAGGUGGUCGCAGUGAAGAGGCCCAGGCGACUGUUUAGCAAAAACAUAGGUCUCUGCAAACUCGAAAGAGGAGGUAUAGGGGCUGACGCCUGCCCAGUGCCAAAGGUUAAAGAAGUUGGUCAGUCUUAGGAUAAAGCUAGCGACUGAAGCCCCGGUGAACGGCGGCCGUAACUAUAACGGUCCUAAGGUAGCGAAAUUCCUUGUCGGGUAAGUUCCGACCCGCACGAAAGGCGUAACGAUCUGGGCGCUGUCUCGGAGAGAGGCUCGGCGAAAUAGGAUUGUCUGUGAAGAUACGGACUACCUGCAUUUGGACAGAAAGACCCUAUGAAGCUUUACUAUAGCUUGGAAUUGUGUUCGGGCUUCCUGUGCGCAGGAUAGGUGGGAGGCGAAGAAGGUAUUCUUGUGGGGAUACUGGAGCCAACGGUGAGAUACCACUCUCAGGAGGCUAGAAUUCUAACUUAAUUAAGGACAGUUUCAGGUGGGUAGUUUGACUGGGGCGGUCGCCUCCAAAAAGGUAACGGAGGCGUACAAAGGUUCCCUCAGACUGGUUGGAAAUCUGUCGCAGAGUGCAAAGGCAGAAGGGAGCUUGACUGCGAGAAGUACAGUUCGAGCAGGGUGGAAACACGGUCUUAGUGAUCCGACGGUGCUGUGUGGAAGGGCCGUCGAUCAACGGAUAAAAGUUACUCUAAGGAUAACAGGCUGAUCUCCCCCAAGAGUUCACAUCGACGGGGAGGUUUGGCACCUCGAUGUCGGCUCAUCGCAACCUGGGGCGGAAGUACGUCCCAAGGGUUGGGCUGUUCGCCCAUUAAAGCGGUACGUGAGCUGGGUUCAGAACGUCAUGAGACAGUUCGGUCCAUAUCCGAUGUAGGCGUGAGAAUAUUGAGAGGAGCCUUCCUUAGUACGAGAGGACCGGGAAGGACGCACCGCUGGUGUACCUGUUAUGAUGCCAAUUGUAAACGCAGGGUAGCCAAGUGCGGAGAGGAUAACCGCUGAAAGCAUCUAAGUGGGAAGCCCACCUCAAGAUGAGUAUUCUGGUGUAAGGUCACGGGAAGACGACCCGUAAAUAGGCACGAGGUGGAAGUGCAGAGAUGUAUGAAGCCGAAGUGUACUAAUAGACCGUCGGCUUGACC